UGCCCAGACUCCUACGGGAGGCAGCAGUGGGGGAUAUUGCACAAUGGGGGAAACCCUGAUGCAGCGACGCCGCGUGGGUGAAGGAGCACUUCGGUGCGUAAAGCCCUAUCGGCAGGGAAGAAAAGGGGGAAAACCCAGACGGUACCUGACUAAGAAGCCCCGGCUAACUACGAGCCAGCAGCCGCGGCAAUAAGUAGGGGGCAAGCGCUAUCCGGAUUUACUGGGUGUAAAGGGAGCGCAGACGGCAGUGCAAGUCUGGAGUGAAAGCCCGGGGCCCAACCCCGGGACUGCUCUGGAAACUGUAUAGCUGGAGUGCAGGAGAGGUAAGUGGAAUUCCUAGUGUAGCGGUGAAAUGCGUAGAUAUUAGGAGGAACCCCAGUGGCGAAGGCGGCUUACUGGACUGUAACUGACGUUGAGGCUCGAAAGCGUGGGGAGCAAACAGGAUUAGAUACCCCGGUAU
rnacentral:rRNA from 1 species